rnacentral:rRNA from 1 species
CCGCUGAACUAAGCAUAUCAAUAAGCGGAGGAAAAGAAACCAACAGGGAUUGCCUCAGUAACGGCGAGUGAAGCGGCAACAGCUCAAAUUUGAAAUCUGGUUCCUCUGGAGCCCGAGUUGUAAUUUGUAGAGGAUGUCUUCGGGUUUGGCCCCGGCCUAAGUUCCUUGGAACAGGACGUCAUAGAGGGUGAGAAUCCCGUAUGUGGCUGGAGGUCUAUGCCCAUGUGAAGCUCCUUCGACGAGUCGAGUUGUUUGGGAAUGCAGCUCAAAAUGGGUGGUAAGUUUCAUCUAAAGCUAAAUACCGGCGGGAGACCGAUAGCGCACAAGUAGAGUGAUCGAAAGAUGAAAAGCACUUUGGAAAGAGAGUUAAAAAGUACGUGAAAUUGUUGAAAGGGAAGCGCUUGCGACCAGACUUGCCCUCAGUUGAUCAACCGGUGUUCUUCACCAGUGCACUCGGCUGAGGUCAGGCCAGCAUCGGUUUAGACGGUUGGAGAAAGACCAUAGGAAUGUGGCUCCCUUCGGGGAGUGUUAUAGCCUGUGGUGCCAUGCAGCCAGUUUAGACCGAGGACCGCGCCUUGUGCUAGGAUGCUGGCGUAAUGGUUGUAAGCGACCCGUCUUGAAACACGGACCAAGGAGUCUAACAUCUAUGCGAGUGUUUGGGUGUCAAACCCAUGCGCGUAAUGAAAGUGAACGGAGGUGGGAACCCUUAAGGGUGCACCAUCGACCGAUCCUGAUGUCUUCGGAUGGAUUUGAGUAAGAGCAUAGCUGUUGGGACCCGAAAGAUGGUGAACUAUGCCUGAAUAGGGUGAAGCCAGAGGAAACUCUGGUGGAGGCUCGCAGCGGUUCUGACGUGCAAAUCGAUCGUCAAAUUUGGGUAUAGGGGCGAAAGACUAAUCGAACC